GACAGAGGAUGCAAGCGUUAUCCGGAAUGAUUGGGCGUAAAGCGUCUGUAGGUGGCUUUUUUAAGUCCGCCGUCAAAUCCCAGGGCUCAACCCUGGACAGGCGGUGGAAACUACCAAGCUGGAGUACGGUAGGGGCAGAGGGAAUUUCCGGUGGAGCGGUGAAAUGCGUAGAGAUCGGGAGGAACACCUGUGGCGAAGGCGGCGAUCUGGGUCGAUACUGACGCUGAGGUGCGAAAGCGUGGGGAGCAAACAGG
rnacentral:rRNA from 1 species